GUCGUAACAAGGUUUCCGUAGGUGAACCUGCGGAAGGAUCAUAGUUUUCGAGGGCGCGAGCCCGCAAAACACACCGCCACACGCGAACCGCGCCGUGUUGGCCCCCCGGGGAACACACGUAAAAGAAGCGAACAGCACGAGAUGUACCUCCUCCCACGAACUCGAAUACGGUUGAACACAACCGGUAGCGUUGGAUCCCUUGGCAUGCCGAUCGAUGAAGACCGUUGCAAACUGCGAUAAGUGGUGUGAUGCGCAAGUCUAAAACUUAUAAGUGAAUCAUCGAAUCGUUGAACGCAGAGCACCUGUCCCACCCGGACCGGUAUGCCCCUCUGAGCGUCAUUAAACCUUCGGCCACCCGCCGGGUUCGGGGUCCACCGUGCCGCCCGGCACGGCGUUCCCUCGGAUGCAUUGCGAGGGCGGAGGCCGACGGCCGCGCGCACCGUGUCAUGAGACAUGCGCGGACGGCGUGGCCCGGCGCGAGCCCGGGACGUCCCGCAGCGAGGACGUCCGACGCCCCCUUACGAAUGUGACCUCACUGGGGUAAGACUACCCGCUAGACUUAAGCAUAU
rnacentral:rRNA from 1 species